rnacentral:lncRNA from 1 species
CAGUUCCUCUCUCUCUCUCUCUCUACCUCCCUUCUCCGUCUAAGCGCCAUUAACGCCGGCUAGACUGCCUCCUUCCCUUCCCGUCGCUGCUCCACCGGCAACAACCAUCCAUCCCGUCCCGCGAGAAGCUGCCGUGGCUUCGCCAGCUGCUGCCGCACCACCACCGGAGAUGCCACACCAAACCAGCCAUGAAUACCCCCCACCAGCGAAAGCCAUCUCUGGUGACCCACCAACGCCGACGCCAGCGAUGGCACCACACCGCUCCUCCGUCACCGCCUAGAUCUGCCGCCGCCGUCACCAACAAAACCCCCAUCGCCGCCGGAGAAGAAAGCAAAACCAGCUGCUGCUCCGCCUCCUCCAUCCUCCUAUCCCGUCGAGAGCCUCGCUGGAUGUGAGUACCGGCGGGAUUUUUGUUUUCAACGCUGCCUGUCCUGCCACCAACACCACCAGCGGCACCCCGCCGCCAACUGUCCUCUGUCGUCUAUACUCUCUCCGCUACAAUGCAGCCACGAUUUCAUUCAAUUUUCCUCACCGGAGGUGAUGACCGGUGAGUUAUUGAAUGGUAACCUCUCCAACAAUGUUUGAUUUUCAGAUAUCAUCACAGGUUCUGUUAUUUAGUUUUUCUUAUAUUAGUGUGUUUUAAUCUUAUUGCUGUGACCUGAAAUUGACUAAAACUCGGUUGAUGUUCUUGAUCUUGAUGUUGAUUUUUUGUGAUUUUGGUUUAUUGACAUGUUUAGAGUCUCACAUAUAUGAAGUUGGUGGAGCUUAAUUUAGUCUUCAAUAGCUAAUAGAUGGCUGAUUAGUGUUCUCGUUUGUUUUUUUGGGUAAAAUGUGACUAAUAAGUCUAAAUCUUCAUUCACUUAUAGCUGUGACAGACUUGACGUUUAGCAUUUAUGGUAAGUGAGCCUGCCUGGGAUCCUUCUAAGGAUCCCAACAGCGCCAAUGGUUGGUUAUAGCUACAAACGUUACGGUUGUAUUUUUGAGUUGCUUUUGGUUGUUGUCUUACGUUUAGCAGGUUGGAUGAGAAAGAAAGUGAUUUCGGGAACCUGAAGAGUUGCCAAGGGAUUGGUUUGAGGACUAUCCCACUUAGCUCGUCUUUUAAAUUCAUUUAUUUAGUUUGUAAUAAUUAUCAUAUAAACUCUAUGACACUAGUGAAAUUAUGGGACUGGACUGCUUUGGGGGCAGAGAUUUAUGUGCUCUACGAAUAGCGUAGGCAAAAGUAAUUUAGGUCUACGUUCUAUGUGAUCAUUUUAGUCAAAUCUUAACGAAGGUUCAAUGAAUUAUUUAUUUCUAUCCCUAGAAAUCCUGCUUUUAGGAGUUUAAUCAACUUUCGCCUUUUUAAAUUAAGUUUGAAUAUGUCAACAUAAUUUAUUACAUGUUUAAUUAUUUGUGGCGGGUUUAACAAAGUUUUGGGCAUAUUAUAAAUGACAUUCACAUCAGUUUAAAUAACAUUUCCAACAACUAAAUUUUAAUUUUCAACAUUCAAAAUAACAUUUUUAGCACUCUAAAUAAUAUUUCUUUUUAACAUAUCAAAAUUAGUUUUAACACUUGCAUUUAUUUUUCGCAUGGUUUAUUGACUCCCAGCAUUUUAAAAUUCGUUUUUCAGCAUGUUUGUUGCAACUUUUAGCUAUACAAAAUUGUUUUGCAUUUUAAAAUAAAGUUUCAGCAUGUCUUAAUAACUUUCAGCACUAAAAAAAAAAAUCAGUUUCAAGAAGUUGAAUGUCAACAUUCAGCAUUUUUUCAGCAAUAUUUUGUAAAUUUUGGUAGUAAUUUCUAGCGAUGGAAAUUAUAAUCUCAAAUCUUUUUAACUAUUUUCAGCAUGUGAAUCCAUCAAUUCUUA